rnacentral:rRNA from 1 species
UACGUAGGGAGCAAGCGUUAUCCGGAUUUAUUGGGUGUAAAGGGUGCGUAGACGGGGAAGCAAGUUAGUUGUGAAAUCCCUCGGCUUAACUGAGGAACUGCAACUAAAACUACUACUCUUGAGUGUUGGAGAGGAAAGUGGAAUUCCUAGUGUAGCGGUGAAAUGCGUAGAUAUUAGGAGGAACACCAGUGGCGAAGGCGACUUUCUGGACAAUAACUGACGUUGAGGCACGAAAGUGUGGGGAGCAAACAGG